AAGUCGUAACAAGGUUUCCGUAGGUGAACCUGCGGAAGGAUCAUUAGUGAAUUGGGCCCCCGUGGUCCUUAUUCCAAUCCCACACCUUUUGUGCACUUGUUUCCAGGGAGCUUUGGCGUUGUGGCUUUAGCCCCCGCCAUUGUUCUUUACCAAACGUUGAAUCAGUUAGAAAGGUUGCCUUCGAAUAUAACAAAACUUUUAGCAACGGAUCUCUUGGCUCUC
rnacentral:misc_RNA from 1 species